UUUAGUAAGUGUGCAGGCUAAUAUAUAACACAGCCCAUUAAUAUAAUGCAUUAUACUUUAGAAAAUUAUUUUGCACAAAUUUAUGAUGUGGGUUUAAUUUUCAAUUUAAAAUAUUAUUACAGCUAACUUUAUCUCAUUAUUUGCUAUAACUAUGUCACUUCAAAAGAAAAAAAAUAAUAAAAAGAUAAAAAAAAUUUCAUGAAAUGCUUCUAGGUGUAGAAGUUAAGCAAUAAAGAGCCAAAUAAGUGUAGUUUAUGUUCCACAAUCCAAAUUGACUUACCAAGGAAUCCUUCCCCCAUGUGCUAUACAUCAAGUUAAGGCCUAAAGGGACAUACCCGAUCCCCACAGACAUACCACAACCCAAGAUGUAUGUUCUAGGUAACUAUGGUCUUAGUUGCUGGAACACAUCGUGUCACCUUUUGGCAUACUUGCCUGUAAGCAAGUUGAUAUUGACUGCCCCAGUACAGGAGAUCCAAAACAUAACCUCUUAUGCUGUUAAUCUGCAUUAUGUGGUCUUGAAUACCAUAUAUUUUCAGCCAGGUAGAUUAUAUUAAAUUUAGAACUUGAUGAGCGUGUUGGA
rnacentral:misc_RNA from 1 species